ACAAGCCACAACGGAGACGGUGGGGAUUGGGACUAUCAGGCCUCCAAAGGCUUCCGGACCAUCUCGAAGAAGACGUCGAAAUGGGUGGAAGGUGCCUCUGGCUCCCAUGCUGGGUGGCCGGAGCUUCUGCAGCUUUGUGAGCAGCUGUAACCAAGGAACGUAGCGGAAGCUGUGUAAGAGAAGAGCGUCUUCCGUCUUCACCUGUUGGAACAUCCCCCCUUGGGCGCCAGCUGCCAUUGAGAAGCAGCAAGAAAGAUGUCCAACCUAUUCUUGAGCUCCAGCCUAACAUUUGGUUAUUUGUUCUUUACCCAAAGUCAAUAUUUUGGAAGAAGUUUGAACCAAAUCAUUCAUGCAUUCUCAGGUUUCGUGCAUGAAAAAUCCCCACAGUUUUCCACUUAAAAAGAAAUAAAAAGUCUGAGCACUAUGUACUGAAAAGCUAUUAAAGGUUGUAGGCUGUAAACUCCAAACUUGGCAGGAUGAAGUGGUCAUGAAAGAAGGAAGCUCAAGUCAAGGCUGAAUCAAGUAGCCAAAGCUUGUGAAGUGUUCAAGGCAUGCAGACCAGAGCUUGUGGGGGGCACUGGAUGGUGAAAGCCUGUCACGAGUGACCUGUCACCAAACUGGAUCCUCCAGACAAGAUCACUUGCCUCUU